UAAGCAUAUCAAUAAGCGGAGGAAAAGAAACCAACAGGGAUUGCCCCAGUAACGGCGAGUGAAGCGGCAACAGCUCAAAUUUGAAAUCUGGCCUCCGGGUCCGAGUUGUAAUUUGUAGAGGAUGCUUUUGGCGAGGUGCCUUCCGAGUUCCCUGGAACGGGACGCCAUAGAGGGUGAGAGCCCCGUCUGGUCGGACACCGAGCCUCUGUAAAGCUCCUUCGACGAGUCGAGUAGUUUGGGAAUGCUGCUCAAAAUGGGAGGUAUAUGUCUUCUAAAGCUAAAUAUUGGCCAGAGACCGAUAGCGCACAAGUAGAGUGAUCGAAAGAUGAAAAGCACUUUGAAAAGAGGGUUAAAAAGUACGUGAAAUUGUUGAAAGGGAAGCGCCUAUGACCAGACUUGGGCCCGGUGAAUCAUCCAGCGUUCUCGCUGGUGCACUUUGCCGGGCACAGGCCAGCAUCAGUUUGGCGCGGGGGAUAAAGGUUUUGGGAAUGUGGCUCCCUCGGGAGUGUUAUAGCCCAUUGCGUAAUACCCUGCGCCGGACUGAGGUACGCGCAUCGCAAGGAUGCUGGCGUAAUGGUCAUCAGCGACCCGUCUUGAAACACGGACCAAGGAGUCGUCUUCGUAUGCGAGUGUUCGGGUGUCAAACCCCUACGCGUAAUGAAAGUGAACGCAGGUGAGAGCUUCGGCGCAUCAUCGACCGAUCCUGAUGUUCUCGGAUGGAUUUGAGUAAGAGCAUACGGGGCCGGACCCGAAAGAAGGUGAACUAUGCCUGUAUAGGGUGAAGCCAGAGGAAACUCUGGUGGAGGCUCGCAGCGGUUCUGACGUGCGAAUCGAUCGUCAAAUAUGGGCAUGGGGGCGAAAGACUAAUCGAACCUUCUAGUAGCUGGUUUC
rnacentral:rRNA from 1 species